AAAGAGGGGAAACGCCUCGGUUCUCAUCUUCGUUUUCUGGCAACUCUCCCUCCCAUUCGCCGACCUUUCCGGUUUGGGUAUUUUGCUCAUACCACCCUAUCUCUCCUCCAAUUCGGUACACCAGGAGAAUUUUAAAUUAAAAAAAGAAAAAAAAAAGAGGUGAACGAUUUAUCUUUGGUAAAUAGGUAACUCCGUUGUUUUGUGUUUGCCCACUAAGGAGCAGAGGUGUUUCGGGGAAAAGCAUGUACAGUAUGAACACUAACUGCAGUGCUGGGAAGUACCAAACAUUCUUCAUGUCAGGAUCUUCCCCAUUGCUGCUGCAGUUUGUUUGAAAGUGCUCAAUGUCUAGGGUUCUAUUUAACUGCUGCACCUGAGCUUUUAUGUUUAAGCGUGUGUACAGAUAUUGGUCUAGUAGAUAGAAAUGGAAGCAAAAACCGCAAAGGCAUUGGAUAGGGUUGCACUCUAUCUGAAGCGAAAACGAGCUGCCCGAUAUGCUAUGCAUCUUGGGGGAGCUUCACAACCAGUGCUACGUAAUUGGCCUUCUUUUAUGUCACCAACAAGCAGGGUUGUGAAACAGAUGAGAUCAGGCGAAUAUAGGAACAAGCAUACAAAUGCUGGUCCUCAUAUUGGACGGUCCUUGAUUAGGCGUUUUUUUAGUUACAAAAAGAGUGGGAGGCCAGAACGUUUGAUGUUCUAUAAGAAUGGUGAAUGGUUGGACUUUCCUAAGGAUGUUGUUGACUUGGUCAAGAAAGAUCUUGAAGUUAAGAAGGCAGCUGUGGAGAUAGAGUUAAAUGGGUAUCAUCUUGUGUUAGAUUUUUUACAUAUGUAUCAGGUGGACUUGAAAACUGGUUUGCAACAACCUAUAGCUUGGAUUGAUGAGGCAGGGUGCUGCUUUUUCCCUGAAGUCUACGCUGCUUCUGAUGAAGAACCUUAUAUAUUUUGCAAACAGGAGGGUGGAAAAAGUCCCGACUCAUGUGAAUCUAAUGAAAUAAAAUUACAGUUAGAUAUUGAAAUCAAUGGAGUGGACCAAUCCAAGUUAAGGGAGUGUAGUGGGGAGUCCAACAUUUUAGGGAAGGGUAUUCAAAUUGAUACUAAACAAAACUGCCGUCAAUAUGAUGUAGAAGUUGAAGAUAGCAUUAACAGAAAGGACUGUGGAAAUGGUGAUGAAGCCAUUCAGCAAAAUCAAGACAUAGGUUUAGAAGCUUAUACUGAAUCUGUAUAUGGAAAGUUGGAUUUGGAUUCUGUACAAAGGAUGUUUCUUAAUGGAAUGAAUAAUAAUGGCAUUACUGAUUCUGACAUAGUUGAGAUUUACCACUGCUCAGGUGUGUCAAUGCAAGCACGAUUGGAGCUAUUCCAGAAGCAAGCUGAAAUUACAAAAAAAUUUCAUGGGGAUGCUAAUGUUAGAUAUGCUUGGCUUGCUUCAUCGAAAAAAGAAUUAUCUGCAAUGAUGGAGUAUGGGCUUGGUCAUUGUGGACUAUCUACAUUGAGAUGCACAUAUGGUGUUGGUGUUCAUCUUGCAGCCGUUACCUGCCCUGAUGCCAGUGCACGUGAUUGUGAUGUUGACGAAAAUGGGGUUCGACACUUGAUCCUUUGUCGUGUAAUAAUGGGAAACAUGGAGAUUCUCUGUCCUGGCACUGGUCAGUCUCAUCCCAGCAGUUGUGAAUAUGAUAAUGGUGUGAAUGACAUUCAGUGUCCAAGAUACUAUGUAGUAUGGAAUAUGAACAUGAACACUCACAUCUAUCCAGAAUUCAUUGUUAGCUUCAAGGUCUCUUUUGAUGCUGAAGGUCUUUUUUGUGGAAGUGAGAGUAAGAAUAAUGUUUCUGUGGUUGAUCUGGCCUGUCAAGAUCCUCGUGGCCUGUUACAUUCCGACUCUUCUACAGUAGAUAAUAAUUUCUGGCCUGAACUGGAGGUAGACUGUCAAUUUAAGGGGAUUAAGACCAAGAAUGUAGAGGCAUUGAAAGUAUCAUGGAGGUUUGGAUGUGUAAGGUAGUCUGAUAGUAUAGAAUGGUCUUUUCUAUGGCUUCGUGGUCAAAUUAGAGUUUUUGGAGGAAAAACAAUAUUUAGAUGAGAAACAGAUUGGAGUAAGGUUUGAUUUCCUAAAUCAUAUUGGUAGAUUGGAUUAUGGUGAUCAGGAUAUGAAAUAUGAUACCUUCAUAUUCCAGUGAAAAGGUUGUCUGAAUGGUAGUCUGUUUAUGGGAUGUGAGGUUUUCUGCUUGAAAAACCAUGUAUAUUCAUUUGUCAAUAUACGUGUCACAUUUUGGAGAUUUAAUUGUGUUUGGUUUUUGGUUGGGAAAGAGCUAACAUUUGUUUGGGAAUUUGUGUGAAUGGUAAACCAAACACACUCUAGGCUUUUGAGAUUUAUCUUCUGGUUUUAAAUUCUUAUAUUGUUUUAGAUUUAUUGCCCAUAUAAAGAGCUUUGUCCAAACAAUUUUGGAUUGUGGGAUACCUCUUCAGGGAAAAGCUGCCAGUAUGGUCGCCGUUGCUAGCACAACAAAAGUUCCAAAAUCCCCUUGGAUGCCUUUUCCUGUGCUUUUUGCUGCUAUCAGAAACAAGGUUCCUCCCAGGGAUAUGAAUCUUAUCAAAACACAUUAUGAACAAUUCAUGUCAAAGCAGAUAUCCCGGGAUGAUUUUGUGAAGAUGCUGAGGUUAAUAGUUGGAGAUGCUCUAUUGAGAGCUACAAUAACAAAUCUUCAAUUUAAGAUACCAUCCAAUGGUGAAGCGAAAGACUCAAACAAGAAGGAAGGCUAAGGCAAUGGAGAUUCUGCAAUCGGGGUCGACUAUUGUCAACUUUUUGCUGGAUAAGCCAGAAUGAAGUUGUAAUAUUGUUAGCUCCUAGGCAAACUAUCUUCUCUUUUUCUUUUGGAACUGAAUGUUUGCUCCUGGAACUUUAAUAGAGUUUAUGUUG